GACGAACGUUGGCGGCGUGCUUAAUACAUGCAAGUCAACUGAAGCAGAGGUAGUAAUAUCUCUGUGGAGGUGGCGCACGGGUGAGUAACACGUAGGUAAUCUGCCUUCAGGUCUGACAUAACCCCGAGAAAUCGGGGCUAAUAGCAGAUGAUGCAGCGGCUUGACAUCAAGACAGUUGUUAAAGCUUCGGCGCCUGAAGAUGAGCCUGCGCUGAUUAGCUAGUUGGCGGAGUAACAGCCCACCAAGGCUACGAUCAGUAGCUGGUCUGAGA
rnacentral:rRNA from 1 species